rnacentral:rRNA from 1 species
UACGGAGGGUGCAAACGUUGCUCGGAAUCAUUGGGCGUAAAGCGCACGUAGGCGGCUCGUUAAGUCGGAUGUGAAAGCCCUGGGCCCAACCCAGGAAGUGCAUACGAAACUGGCGAGCUUGAGUAUGGAAGAGGGUCGCGGAAUUCCCGGUGUAGAGGUGAAAUUCGUAGAUAUCAGGAGGAACACCGGUGGCGAAGGCGGGUCUCUGGGCAGUAACUGACGCUGAGGAGCGAAAGCGUGGGGAGCGAACAGG